AGUGGUACUCCCUUUUCCACACCUGUCCGGUCAAAACCCUAGAAGUAAAAUCUACAACAGCUCGUACUAUACCCCCAAAUAUCUCUGUGUUCCUUCUUCUAUCAUCGACUCUCAGAGUUUUGACGUCUUCAACAAUAGAAGAUAUAGAGUAUUUUUUCCAAUGGCUGGUCAGAGGAACAAUUAUGGAAAGCGUUCACAUUCGCAGUCUGAUUAUACCAACAAUGGAGGAAAUAAAAGGAGAAAUCGUGGUGAUGAUAGAGAUCCUUUCUCUAUUGGGUUAGAAGAUACUGUAUACCGAUAUUUGUGCCCUGGAAAGAAGAUUGGAAGUAUUAUAGGGAGGGGAGGGGAGAUCGUCAAGCAAUUAAGGACAGACACUAAAUCGAAAAUUAGGAUUGGUGAGACGGUUCCAGGUUGCGAGGAGCGAGUUAUCACUAUCUACAGCCCUAACGAGGAGACAAAUGAUUUUGAUGCCACUGACAAUCACGUUUGUCCAGCCCAGGAUGCUCUAUUCAAAGUGCAUGACAGAGUUGUUGCUGAUGACUUGGCUGCUGAUGAGGACCCUGAUGAAACCCCAGAAAUUACUGUUCGGCUUCUUGUAUCGUCGGAUCAGAUUGGAUGUGUUAUUGGGAAAGGUGGACAGAUAGUUCAGAAUAUACGUAGUGAAACUGGUGCCCAGGUUCGCAUUCUGAAGGAUCAUCAUUUGCCUCCUUGUGCAUUGAGUUCUGAUGAACUCGUGCAGGUAUCUGGUGAGGCCCCAGUAGUGAGGAAGGCACUUUAUCAAAUUGCAUCUCGCCUUCAUGACAAUCCAUCUCGAUCUCAGAACACGCUUGCUUCUGCCGUGCCCAAUGCUUAUGCUUCCAGUGGUGCACUUAUGGGUCCAACAGCGGGUGCCCCAAUCAUGAGAUUAGCUCCACUUGUGAGUCCUUAUGGAGGAUACAAAGGUGAAAGUGGGGACUGGCAACACUCCUUUUACUCAGCUUCGAGGGUUGAAUCAUCCUCAAAGGAAUUUUCUCUCCGUUUGGUUUGUCCUACUGCUAAUAUUGGAGGUGUGAUUGGCAAGGGUGGUGGCAUAAUCAAUCAAAUCAGACAGGAGUCGGGCGCAGCUAUUAAGGUUGACAGUUCAGCUGCGGAGGGAGAUGAUUGCAUAAUAUCUAUUUCAGCAAAGGAGAUCUUUGAGGACACUUUCUCCUCAACUAUUGAAGCAGCAUUGCGUUUGCAACCCAGGUGUAGUGAGAAAGUUGAAAGAGAUUCAGGUCUUAUUACAUAUACAACCCGCCUACUCGUGCCAACCUCUAGAAUUGGCUGCCUUAUUGGGAAAGGAGGUGCUAUAAUUACUGAGAUGAGGAGAAUCACCAAAGCUAACAUUCGUGUACUUUCGAAGGAAAGCCUUCCCAAAGUUGCAGCUGAAGAUGAUGAGAUGGUGCUGAUCGCUGGAGACCCUGAUGUUGCUAAAGAUGCUCUUAUGCAAGUAACUUCACGUUUAAGAGCAAAUCUUUUUGAUAGGGAGGGGGCUGUAUCUGCAUUUGUGCCAGUUCUUCCAUACCUUCCUGUGUCAACUGAUGGUUCGGAUGAUUUAAAAUAUGAAAGUAGAGAUGGUAAAAGACAUGGACGUGGACAUUCUUACUCUGAUGGAUAUGGUGACUCUGAUUUGCCAGCUGGUGAUGGUUAUGGAAGUUACGGUGGUUUGCAGAGUGGCAGCACUGGCGGUGGUUAUGGAGCGUAUGGUGGCUAUUCUUCUGGACGUAGUGGUGGUUCUGGGUUAUCUGGGCAGAACAACAUUCCCCGACGGAGGAAUUACGAUUACUAAAGUUUGGCCGUCACGAACUGCAGCGCAUGAGGAGCUCACAACUAAAGCAGGUACGAAGCCACAUACUUCUUAGCAUGAGGUGUACUGGCAUAUUUUAUGUGGAGGUUAGUUUUUAGUUGCUGCUCAUAUCAAAUUCCAACAUCCACAAGACCAUGAUUUGCCAGAAGGUUUCUCCUGCACCAUCUCUACGCAUGGUUCUUGCUGUUGUUAUUGGAGACUUGGGGGCUAACUGAGAGAUUUGUUGGAAUAGUUGAAACUUAUUACCUCAUCUGGUGGUUGAACGAAUACUAGGCCUGGUGCAUAAAACAGGCUACCUGGCAAAGGACAUCUUAAGCAGGGAAGUCCAGAUGACUGGGUGAGAAUAAAUCAAAGCUUUGUUCAUUUAUUUGCUUCUCUAUAUGCAUUUCAUUCAUUUCCCCUCCUCCUGCUCCUCACUUUCUGUUGCUCCUCUACCCAUGCCUUUUUUAUAUGUAUGCAUGAAUGUGCGCGCUCGCGUGGGCGUGGGCGCCAUCUUUUUUGUCCCUAAUAGGAGUUUAACCCUCAACUUCCCACUUAAAAGGUCGAGGAGAUAACUCUAGGCAAUCGGCCUUGGUUGUCAAUACAUUUUUUGCACUAUAGAUGGGCUGCCAUUUUUACAGGUGAUCUCCAAAAGUUCUAUAACAAAUCAGUUACCGCAUUUUUUUCUGAGAGUUUUUACAUGGUUUACCUUUUUUUUUUUUGGUUUUGUUUUCCAAGAAUAAUCUCUCUCUCUCUCUCUCUCUCUCUCUCUCUCCAUUUUGUGGGUAUUUUCAUUGUAAGGAUGCUGUGCUUCGUCAGUAGAAAGUUUCAUAUCUAGCAUCAUGGUUAUUUCCAAGUAUGAUGCUACUACUUGAAACUAGCAUCAUUUCUCCAAAAGCUCAGCAACAAAUCAGUUACUGUAAUUUUUCUCUCUUUUUGUUUCUACAUGGUUAUUUAAAUUUUUUAUUUAA